rnacentral:tRNA from 1 species
GGGCGCUUAGCUCAGUUGGUUAGAGCACUACGUUUACACCGUAGGGGUCAGGGGUUCGAGUCCCUUAGCGCCCA